AUGCGUCGGGCCACUGUUUACAACCAUUUGCGGAAUUUCAAAGCAGCUGCAGAAGAUUUGAAGAAGGUGCUACAAAUGGAGCCAGAAAAUGCUAUAGCUGAAAAGAAGCUGUCAGAUAUUGAGAAGAAUCUGAAAGAGCUAGAACAAAAACCUCAGAGCCAGAUCAAGGGGAGAAGGAUAUUUAUUCGUGAUAUAGAAGAAUCUGAUGGUAACGAACAACAAGGAGGAAAUGAAGGAAAACUAGAAGAUGGCAAUAAGGGUAAAAGUAAAAUUAAACCUUUUAAUUGUUUUUAUUUCAAGACCAAUGAUUGUACAAUACAGUAUUCAUUUGAAUAUGGGACUCUUCUUGAAUCAAGGUAUUGCUUCUUUUAACUCAAUAUUUUUAUUAUAAUUUUAGAUUCCAGGAUUGAAGGUGGUUAGUUCUGUAUAUAAAGUUCUACUACUGGCCUAGUUGAGAAAAGGCCAUAAACACAUACAUGCACACAAUUAUACCACAUAUCCAUCUCAAAUCUAUCAUGACAAAAAAUCCAAAGAGCUUUAUGAGAGUAAACUGCACAAACCUGAACGGCAAUUGUGCAUUUCCUUUUAGACUAAACCCUUCCAAAAUAGAAUGCAGCAAAACCGUAGAAGUAUAACGAAAUAAUCAGAUCAAGAAUUUUAAAAUGCAGUUAGAAAAUCCAAAUUAAAAUUAGAGGCUGUUGGUAACACAGUGAGAAUUUAUAUAAAGAUGUGGUCUUAUAUUUUUUGUUAAAAUUAAAAAACAGAACAGAUUUCUCCUCAAAGGAGUAUAUUAAGGUUCUCAAGAGGAGGGUGACCAAAAUUGCAAAAGGUUCCAAAACUAUGCCCUAUGAGCAGUGGAUUAUGGCUGCUGGGUAUAUUUAGCCUGGAGAAAAUUAAAUAUUUGAAAGGAUGUGAUAUUGAAGAUGUAGUCAUCUUAUUUAUUUAUUUAUUUACAUCACUUUUACCCCGCGCUUCUCACCCGUAGGGACUCAGGGCGGCUUACAACAGUCGGCAAAUUGCAUUGCCCAAAACACAUUCAAUAAAACAAUAACAAGAUCAAUAAACAAUAGAACAAUACCACAUCAAUUAAAACUAUAAAACUCUAUUAAAACAUGAAUUAUAAAAUUUUAAAAUGCAUAUGUAGUUAUUUUCUGCUGCUCCAGAGACUAGAACACAGAGCAAUGUAUUAAAUCUACAAAAAAAGAGAUCCAAUAUAAACAGUAGGAAGCACCUACUGAUGGCUGAACAGUUUGACAGUGGAAUGCACUGCUUGGGAGUUUGGUGAAUUCUCCUCUGGAGGUUUUAGAAAGAGGUUGGGAGUGCUUUGAUUGUGUAUUCCUGCAUAGUUGGAAUGGAUGUCCCUUGAGGUUUCUUCCAACUCUAUUUUUAUGAUUCUAUGAAUGUUUGCCAAACAUUUCCUUUUAAACAUGGAUUUUUUUUGUUUUGGAAAAUCAUUAUUUCUUUACAUUUUAUGGAAAACAAUUAUUUCUGAAGUUGACACAUUUACUGUUUAAAAUGGCAAGCAAAGAGUCUCACAGCACCUUAAAAAUAACUAAGUUUUAUUUGUCAUGAAGAUCUGUGGACACAACCUUAUUCAUGUAAAUGAAAUUUAUUAGUAUUUAAAAUUCCACAAGACUCUGUUGUGGUUUUUCUUCCAAUAGGUUAACUUGAAUAUUUGUCUGGGAAAAAGUUUACUGUUUUACUAUUUCUUUCUAAAGCUUCUUUCAUCCUCUGAUAAAAGCUAUUUAUUGAAAGUGCAUGCUCAAUCUGAACCAGCAUGAUGUUGUGGUUUGAGUUCUGCAAUACAGCUUCAAAUUCCAGCUCAGCCUCAGAAACCCCCGGGAUUCCAUGACUUGCUUACACAGGAAUCUAAUAAGUUGAGGAAUAAAAAAAUAUCCUCAGUCAUUGUUUGUUUAGAGAGCUUGGCAACAAAAUUGUAUAGUAUUUUUUUGGGUUCCAAUAAUUUUAGUGCCUUAUACAUCUUUCCAUAACUGUAGAUAUAGUUAAAUUGUGACUAGAAAUGUAAUUGCUGUCAGGUUUGUAAUCAGAGUAGCUCUUUGAUUUGAGCAUCUGGCAUUUGAAAGGUUAAUUUUAAGGUGAAUUGUGUGCUGUUUUGAAGAAACUAUUCAUUCCUUUAAAAAAAAACAGCCCAGAUUUGUUAGUAUGUAUUAAGCUCCCACUGUGGAGAAAUGUUGAUACUUUUCAGUUUACAUUGUGUUUUCUGGGAGCACAUCUUGGAGUAAAUGCCCUUCAGUAAAUUGUCUUACAGACUCUCUGUUGCAUUCUUUUAGUCCACCCCUCCUUUGC
ensembl:lncRNA